rnacentral:rRNA from 1 species
UACAGAGGUCCCAAGCGUUGUUCGGAUUCAUUGGGCGUAAAGGGUGCGAUAGGUGGCGUCGUAAGUCGGGUGUGAAAUCUCGGAGGCUUAAACUCCGAAACUGCAUUCGAUACUGCGGUGCCUUUGAGGACUGGGAGAGGAGACUGGAAUUCGAUGGUGUAGCAGUGAAAUGCGUAGAGAAUCAUGAGGAAGACCAGUGGCGAAGGCGGGUCUCUGG